CUUCUCCAUCUAUGUCUGCCUUUCUCUUCUCCAUCUCUCUCUCUCUUAAAGCCGGUAAGCACCAUGAUUUCCGGCUGCCUGAAACAUAUCUAAAAUCACAUGUAACUAUCAUCGAAUUUCAGAAUGAUCCCUAACCACCGUCACCAAAAAUCUGGGUUGCCGGCAUCGUUUUUGAACCCUAGAUCUGAACAAACUUAAGCCGAUCUGAACUGGGUGUCGCCGGUGUUUGUAGAGGUCCGAACUGUUUUUGAGAGGGUGUCUUAGGGUAUCGACAACAGGUCAACAGAAGUGGGUGCAUCGAUGGUGGGGGUGUCGACAAAAUCAAUCAGUGGAGGCUCGACGGUUGAGAGAGGAGUCUGAAUUUUUUUGGAGUAAAUAAAGUUCUUAACUUCAAUUUUGCCUACACAGUGGGUGCAUCAUUAAGGAAGUCAGAUACAUAUAAGUUUUCAAAACCUUCUCAACUUCAAUUUUGCCUACACAGAUGACUAUAUUAGUCUUUGCUUAUCAAAAUGUUUGUAAGGGAACCUUGAAGUUCCUAGGAGUUGCGGGCAUCGAAGGAAAUUAUCAGAUUUAGUUAUUUAAGCAACUGUGAAGAUGAACAAGAUUUUCGUCUUGCUGUCUUAAUUUUUUCGCCGAAGCAAGCUACUCGCCGAGAGAGAUGGCUGUGGUGGUGGUAGGUGUUACAAAUGAGGGAUGAUUUUUAUUGUAAUAUAUUUAUUUAAUGCGCAAAAUCACUAAAGUACCCUCAUGUGCCUUGCAUAUUGCUGGAUUAAACUGAAAAUUAUAAUCUGGUUAGGGUUAAAGGACGUAGAGUGUAAUGAGUUUUCCAAAUAAAGGACUGUGACUGUAAUUAUUGAAGUUAAAGGCUAUUCAUUGCAACCCA